GAUCCUAGUCACCUGACAAUAAUUAACCUAACAAUGUUUAAUAUUACAAAUGUGAGCUAGAACAAUCAGCAUAUGUCACACCUAAGGAAAUCAGUUGAUAGAACAAAGCACAAAAACCCUAAAUCAAUAUCCCAAAAGAUUACAAAUAUAUAGGUUACCGCAAACACCGCAUUGGUCUUUGCCUUCCCAUGAACAAUUUGAAUCGGGCAGCGACCAAGAUAGACAGUCCAAAUCUGAAACAUGAUGAACAAAAGUGCACCAAAACGUCGAUCAAUACUCAAUAGUACCACCUUGUAACAUAAAAUAUCCCUCUCAUCAAGACAGAGGAUUUGCUGCAUAUUACAAUCUGGCACCGUUGAUGACACCUUAAAAAGAUAUGUUAGUGGCUCUUUGAUUAUGUCUUCCCUAUUCCUGGCUAACGCGCGCCCGUGUGACCCUAAUUUCUCAGAUGAAUGCAGACAAAAGUCUUGGUGACAACUUGUUACAUAAUGUAAUGCAAAAUAUAAGUACUCCGUAAACCAUAUUCCAUCGGACCCAGUUUAGAAAAGUUUGAGAAGCUCAACCUCGUAUAUCGAUCAUUCUUAUAAACAUGCCUCUGAGGAUUCAAAACACAUUUCACACUCCCCAAGUAAGAACUAUCUUUCUCUUGACGAAGUUAAAACCUAUUUGUUGCUAACUACAGGAAUUACAAACCUAGGUUUGUGUGAAAAUAGUCCAUUAACUGGUUUCUACACAAGAAAACGUGGGAACAAAUGAGAAAAAGGAGAAAGCAAGACCUGCAUGACAAGAGACACCUACAGCAACACGAGAGAAAAAGAUUGUAGAUAUUUGACACGAUUUGAAGAAUAUUAAUCACCUCAUCACUUAGAAACAAAUUGCAAGACUUGGAAAUAGUAUUUUGGCAGAAAGAAAAAACCACAUAAUUCAUUUAAAUGUGAGAAAAUCACAUUUUACUUUUCUUCAAAAUUUAGUCAUAGACGCGCAUACAUAAGCAUUCAGAAAGAAAUUCAAUUACUGUAGAUUUCGUAACCACUAUAUAUAUAUAUAUAUAGAAUUGGCCAUAUCUACAAAUCGCUUCUGGAACCCAUAUUUACUACUUAAAAAUUCGAAAAGAAUACACAAAUUGAUGAGUCUGUGGUCGUUUUGAAAAUUAAAUGCAAAGAACGUGUUCUUAGAUCAAGAACCAAGUCCACAAGAAUAUUCUCGUAAAGAUUCACAACGUGAUCACAUGGAACCAAUGAUAUAUAAAUUAGAUACCAUCUAUAUAAAUAUAGUGGUUACACAUCAAGCUAUAUAAAGCAGAAUAAUUUAGAAACAUGCCUCAAUCAAAAUGUACAAGCAUACAAUAUAAAUAAUCUAGAAAACCAACAGCUGAAGAUCAUGAACGGUAAUUUGCAAAUCCACAGAUGUCAUCAUAUGAAGCAAAUAAUAGAUCUAUACAUAUUUAUGAAUCAAGAGACUAAAUCACAGAUUUUGAAAGCUAAAAAAAGAGAGGAUACAAAACCACAUGAUUAAUAAUCUAAGCUUGAAUUGAGAAAAUUAAGGAUUCAAAAGAGUUUGGACCAGCCUAAGAAAGAACUAGGUUAACGUUAAUGGUCCCAUAUUAAUCUCGUUUAACCAAACCAUAAACAUUUAGAUUAAAGCUUUUUCGAAACUAAUGAUCUCAUAAAAUAUAAAGUAGAACAAAGGAGAAAUGAAAAGAGUAAAGUCGCAUGCAUUUAGAAACCAAAUCGUUACAUAUUAUAGGAGCGAGAUCGUAUCAAUUACCUUAAUUUGGAGGGAUGAAGAACAUAAGAGAGAGAGAAUGGGAACAAAAUUAAAGAAGAAAACGUGAACAGACCGAAAAGAAUCGGAGCCGGAAUCUGACAGAUAGAGCAGUGAGCACGCAAGAGAAGCAAAUGCAUCGAACAUGCAAAGUGCCUUUGUGUGCUCACUCUCUUCUGUCAGUUUCUAUGCGUUUCUCUAAAAUUUAUCCCAAAACUCAUUCAAUGUCCUUACCUACGCAGAUUCUGAAAUUAGAGAUCGACCAUUGGAAAUGGGUUUGGGAAAGGAGGAUGUAAAGUUAGAUCUGAGAGGCUUAGGUUAAGCAAGAACCAGAGGGAAUAUUUAUAAUCAAAGGAAAAGAGGAAAGUUAUACUACCUCCGUUUUCAUGCCGUAAGUAGUUUUAGGAAAAUGUUUUUGUUUCAAAAUGUAAGUAGUUUUCGUAGUUUUAGUUAAUUUUUACAUUUAUUGAAUACAGUGUGACCAAUCAAAUUAAAUAUACUUAUUUUUUAUUGGUUAAAUUAUAUCUAACCUAUUUAUUAUAAAAUACUUUUGAAAAACAUAACAAUUUUUUUAAUCUUCGUACUUUUAACUAAAACUACUUAUAUUAUGAAACGGAAGGAGUAUUCAUUUUUGGAUACCCUUGAGAAAACAAAUCUAGGGUUUGACCAAAUCAAGAAGGGAAAAUAAAUCAACAAAAAAGAAAGAACAAAGAGAGAUAUUCGGAGGAGAAGAGAAGAGGGGAGAAGGGAGAUUAACAAAAGAAGAAAAUAAAAAACAUUAUCCCUCUCUGUCGUUCACACUCUUCAAGAGUCUUAUCUCUGUUUUUGAGUUUUGUCUCUUUUCUCUCUCCCUCUUACGUGCAACGGGACAGAUGUCUAGAGAGAGACAUUUUGAGUGGAGGGGAAUUGGAUUCAACAGUACAUUGCGGUUUAUAGUGGUCAAUCUCAUAGCCUACAAACGGCAACGACAAACCUACUAAAGAUCUUGAGUUUUGCGUAUGAAUUUUGGUCUUUCACGAUGGAAUCUGCUCUUCUUUUGUUGUAAUUAAAAUAAGUAUUUCCGCGUUUUACUUUUAAAUAAACAGGUGAAACAAGGCGGAAACAAAUAAAGCAACUCAACACAGAAAUCUCAUACGUUUUACAUUACUAUAGGAAACUUUUGUUUUUAAUUCUUAAUUCUACACCUACAUAGUUUUCACAUUAUUCAAAAUUCUGCAGAUAAAAACAAAUUACAGAGUCACCAUUUUAAAACAUAAUUUCUUCAGUUACAAAAAAUGGCUUUAAUGUGCUAUCAGUUGCCGACACUACAAGAAAACAUAUUUUUUACUAGGGCAGUAUUCGUUGUAAAUUCGUCGUAAACCGGGUGUUACGACGAAUUAACGUCGAAAGACGUUUCGUUGUUAAACGUCCGUCGUAACGGAGGUUUCGUCGUAAACGACUCGUUACGUUUACGACGAAAUAUAUUCCUCGUAAAGCGCAGGGAAAGGAUUCGUCGUAAAAGCCAUGUAAAUAUUCAUCGUAAAGCCCACGUAAUUAUUUCGAUGUAAAACACACGUAAAUACUUUCGUUGUAAAUCACUCGUAAACAUUUCGAUGUAAAACCCUCGUAAAUAUUUCGAUGUUAAUCACUUGUAAACAUUCGAUGUAAACUCCAUGUAAUGUUUACGAGGAGUUUACAUCGUUUCUUAGUCACCUGACAAUAAUUAACCUAACAAUGUUUAAUAUUACAAAUGUGAGCUAGAACAAUCAGCAUAUGUCACACCUAAGGAAAUCAGUUGAUAGAACAAAGCACAAAAACCCUAAAUCAAUAUCCCAAAAGAUUACAAAUAUAUAGGUUACCGCAAACACCGCAUUGGUCUUUGCCUUCCCAUGAACAAUUUGAAUCGGGCAGCGACCAAGAUAGACAGUCCAAAUCUGAAACAUGAUGAACAAAAGUGCACCAAAACGUCGAUCAAUACUCAAUAGUACCACCUUGUAACAUAAAAUAUCCCUCUCAUCAAGACAGAGGAUUUGCUGCAUA
rnacentral:lncRNA from 1 species